GACGAACGCUGGCGGCGUGCUUAACACAUGCAAGUCGAACGGUAAGGCCCUUCGGGGUACACGAGUGGCGAACGGGUGAGUAACACGUGGGUGAUCUGCCCUGCACUUCGGGAUAAGCCUGGGAAACUGGGUCUAAUACCGGAUAGGACCACUGCCUGCAUGGGUGGUGGUGGAAAGCUUUUGCGGUGUGGGAUGGGCCCGCGGCCUAUCAGCUUGCUGGUGGGGUGAUGGCCUACCAAGGCGACGACGGGUAGCCGGCCUGAUGGGGUGACCGGCCACACUGGGACUGAGAUGCGGCCCAGACUCCUACGGGUGGCAGCAGUGGGGAAUACUGCAAAAUGGGCGCAAGCCGGAUGCAGCGACGCCGCGUGAGGGAUGACGGCCUUCGGGUUGUAAACCUCUUUCAGCACCGACGAAGCGCAAGUGACGGUAGGUGCGGAAGAAGGACCGGCCAACUACGUGCCAGCAGCCGCAGUAA
rnacentral:rRNA from 1 species